GGCUGGAUGACACACAGGUUUCAGUAUGACUCAUGAACCAACUGAGUGGAUGCAUUGAUUCUAAAAAAAGGCACUGACCCCCAACAAGAUGCCCCUGACAAACAUUUCCUUUAUCCUGAUGUGACCUAAGAUGUUCUUCUAAGGGAACAGGAAAAAGACGGCAUUUAUGUUGUUGGAAAAGGAAGAGAAGACAUGAGCUGAACAGAUGAUGAAUGCAACCCAAAGAAAAGACAAAGACAAAUUGGAUUUAUUUAACCAAUGGAAUUUUAAUUCCUCAGCUGCCAUGGUGCCAUCUGAAUUUAUGUCUCCAGAUCAUUGGUGCAGUAACAUAACAUAACUACUGUUCUACUUUACCAUGCAAAAGUCAAACAUCAACAGAAGCUUAAAGGGACUGUUUUGAUGGACUGCCAAAAUUACACUAAUGUGAAACUGCCACUGCAUUGCCCUGCAGUAGAUAUUGACAUAAUUCUUGGUGUUCUGCUGAAUGCUGACAUUGUUGGUAUCCUGCGUUGCUAAGGCAACAAUGAUGGAAAAUAUGAGGUAUGAUCUCACUCUGUCAUUAACUACCUAAUUUGAAUGUGCCCACCAUAAUUGAGCAGGUGCAUCUGACACUCUCUACGACUUCUGGCAGAGAAUGUAUGCAGCGCAAAAGUGGCUCAGAAACCAGAAUUAUGGCUCUUUGUCCAGAUUUAUAACCUCCAAACCAACUAUUUACACUAAAGUAGUGGUAAAGGAAAAAAAUCCUGUCCAUUGUAUUUCUGUACUAUACAAUGAGAAGGAAAAAAUUACAGUAAAAAAAGAAGCAGAAUAAGAAAUACAAUUCGACACAGCAAGAAACAAAAGUGAUAAUGAAAUUGUUAGAUGCAGGAGGAAGAGUAGUCUGAAAAAAGUGGAAGAAACAUGGAAAGACAAAGAAAAAGAGACAAAAGUACUUUUAAAACUCAGAAGCAAAACAUCAGAAAAGAAAAACCAUUGUUUAAAAAUUAUGGCAACCAGUUAUGUGAUAUAUAGAUUUUCUUUUGGGAACAUUAUAAUUAUUUUCCUAUUAAUAAUACAAAUGAAUAUAACUGCUGAGAUGACUCAGAAAAUGGGUACACCCUGUUGUCAUUAUUGUUUGAUCAGACAUUUUACAGAU